UCAAGCUACUAAGGGCAUACGGCGGAUGCCUAGGCGCCAUCAGCCGAUGAAGGACGCGGUAAGCUGCGAAAAGCUACGGGGAACUGCAAGCAAGUAUUGAUCCGUAGAUGUCCGAAUGGGGAAACCCACCUGCCGUCAUGGGCAGGUAUCCGAAAGGAAGGGAACCCGGGGAACUGAAACAUCUAAGUACCCGGAGGAAGAGAAAUCAAACGAGAUGCCCACAGUAGCGGCGAGCGAAGAGGGCAGAGGGCAAACCGGGGAGCUACGGCUCUCCGGGGUUGAGGACUGCAUUUAGUCUUAAUGGUCUAUCCGAACUACCUGGAAAGGUAGGCAACACAGUGUAAAAGCCACGUAGGUUAAAGACCAAAGAGAUGAGCAGUAUCCAGAGUACCACGAGGCACGAGGAAUCUUGUGGGAAGCCGGGGGGACCACCCUCCAACCCUAAACACUGAAUGGCGACCGAUAGCGCAUAGUACCGUGAGGGAAAGGUGAAAAGAACCCCGGGAGGGGAGUGAAAGAGAACCUGAAACCGUAUGUCUACAAGCAGUCGGAGCGAAAGCGACGGCGUGCCUAUUGAAGAAUGAACCAACGAGUUACGUGCACUAGCGAGGUUAAGUGGAAGACACGGAGCCGAAGCGAAAGCGAGUCUUAAGAGGGCGGAUAGUUAGUGUACGUAGACCCGAAACCGCAGUGAUCUACCCAUGUCCAGGUUGAAGCGCAGGUAAAAUUGCGUGGAGGACCGAACCUGUGAGCGUUGAAAAGCUUUAGGAUGAGAUGUGGGUAGAGGUGAAAUUCCAAUCGAACGCGGAGAUAGCUGGUUCUCCCCGAAAUAGCUUUAGGGCUAGCCUCAAGUAGUAAGUAUAGGCGGUAGAGCACUGAUCGGGCUAGGGGCCAUAAAGGUUACCGAACCCUGUCAAACUCCGAAUGGUUAUACUGUAGAGCUUGGGAGUCAGACUACGAGUGAUAAGAUCCGUGGUCAAAAGGGAAACAGCCCAGACCACCAGCUAAGGUCCCCAAUGUCGUACUAAGUGGAAAAGGAUGUGGGGUCUCUAAAACAACCAGGAUGUUGGCUUAGAAGCAGCCACCAUUUAAAGAGUGCGUAAUAGCUCACUGGUCGAGAGACCCUGCGCCGAAGAUUACCGGGGCUAAAGUACGAAACCGAAGCUGUGGCUACGACUUAGGUCGUGGGGUAGGGGAGCGUUCUGUGAGGGCUGAAGUCGUUCUGUAAGGAACGGUGGAUUUCACAGAAGUGAGAAUGUUGGUAUGAGUAGCGAAAAGAAUGGUGAGAAUCCAUUCCACCGAAAGCAUAAGGAUUCCUGGGCAACGAUCGUCGUCCCAGGGUAAGUCGGGACCUAAUCCGAGGCAUGGAGCGUAGGAGAUGGACAACUGGCAGAUAUUCCAGUACCGGUAAUGAUUGUUUGAGCGAUGGAGUGACACAGGAGGGCAGGCAGGCAGGAGAUUGGUUGUUCCUGUACAAGCGUGUAGGAUGGGUUGCAGGCAAAUCCGCAACCUGUGAGUCUGAGGCGUGAUGUGGAGGUUCCGGAAACGGAACUGAAGCUGCUGACCCCACACUGUCGAGAAAAGCUUCUAGUUAGAGAAUUACCGCCCGUACCGUAAACCGACACAGGUAUGCGGGGAGAGAAUCCUAAGGUGCGCGGGAGAACCCUCGUUAAGGAACUCGGCAAAAUGUACCCGUAACUUCGGGAUAAGGGUAGCCGCUGUUGUGAAGUCUGAACAGAUGGAGCAUGAGGCGGUCGCAGAGAAGAGGCCCAAGCGACUGUUUACCACAAACACAGGUGCCUGCUAAAGAGAAAUCUGACGUAUAGGUGCUGACACCUGCCCAGUGCCGGAAGGUUAAGGAAGGAUGUCCGGAGCAAUCCAAAGCAUUCGACCGAAGCCCCGGUGAACGGCGGCCGUAACUAUAACGGUCCUAAGGUAGCGAAAUUCCUUGUCGGGUAAG
rnacentral:rRNA from 1 species